rnacentral:rRNA from 1 species
UACGGGAGGCAGCAGUGGGGAAUAUUGGACAAUGGGCGCAAGCCUGAUCCAGCCAUGCCGCGUGAGUGAUGAAGGCCUUAGGGUUGUAAAGCUCUUUCGUCCGGGACGAUAAUGACGGUACCGGAAGAAGAAGCCCCGGCUAACUUCGUGCCAGCAGCCGCGGUAAUACGAAGGGGGCUAGCGUUGUUCGGAAUCACUGGGCGUAAAGGGCGCGUAGGCGGCUUUAUAAGUCGGGGGUGAAAGCCUGUGGCUCAGCCACAGAAUUGCCUUCGAUACUGUAGAGCUUGAGACCGGAAGAGGUAAGUGGAACUGCGAGUGUAGAGGUGAAAUUCGUAGAUAUUCGCAAGAACACCAGUGGCGAAGGCGGCUUACUGGUCCGGUUCUGACGCUGAGGCGCGAAAGCGUGGGGAGCAAACAGGAUUAGAUACCCUGGUAG